CCUACGGGAGGCAGCAGUAGGGAAUCUUCCGCAAUGGACGAAAGUCUGACGGAGCAACGCCGCGUGAGUGAUGAAGGUUUUCGGAUCGUAAAACUCUGUUGUUAGGGAAGAACAAGUAUCGGAGUAACUGCCGGUACCUUGACGGUACCUAACCAGAAAGCCACGGCUAACUACGUGCCAGCAGCCGCGGUAAU
rnacentral:rRNA from 1 species